rnacentral:rRNA from 1 species
UGCCAGCAGCCGCGGUAAGACGUAGGGGGCGAGCGUUGUCCGGAUUUAUUGGGCGUAAAGAGCUCGUAGGCGGUUCCGUAAGUCGGAUGUGAAAGCUCAAGGCUCAACCCUGAGACGCCAUCUGAUACUGCGGUGACUUGAAUCCAGUAGGGGAGUGUGGAAUUCCUGGUGUAGCGGUGAAAUGCGCAGAUAUCAGGAGGAACACCUAUGGCGAAGGCAGCACUCUGGGCUGGUAUUGACGCUGAGGAGCGAAAGCAUGGGUAGCAAACAGGAUUAGAUA